rnacentral:rRNA from 1 species
CCUACGGGAGGCAGCAGUAGGGAAUCUUGCACAAUGGGCGAAAGCCUGAUGGAGCAACGCCGCGUGGGUGAAGAAGGUCUUCGGAUCGUAAAACCCUGUUGUUAGAGAAGAAAGUGCGUGAGAGUAACUGUUCACGAUUCGACGGUAUCUAACCAGAAAGCUCCGGCUAACUACGUGCCCGCAGCCGCGGUACUACGUAGGUGGCAAGCGUUAUCCGGAUGUAUGGGGCGUAAAGGGAACGCAGGCGGUCUUUUAAGUCUGAUGUGAAAGCCUUCGGCUUAACCGGAGUAGUGCAUUGGAAACUGGGAAGCUUGAGUGCAGAAGAGGAGAGUGGAACUCCAUGUGUAGCGGUGAAAUGCGUAGAUAUAUGGAAGAACACCAGUGGCGAAGGCGGCUCUCUGGUCUGAAACUGACGCUGAGGUUCGAAAGCGUGGGUAGCAAACAGGAUUAGAUACCCGAGUAGUC